rnacentral:rRNA from 1 species
UACGUAGGGGGCAAGCGUUGUCCGGAAUCAUUGGGCGUAAAGCGCGUGUAGGCGGUUCGAUAAGUCUGCUGUGAAAGUCCAGGGCUCAACCCUGGGAUGCCGGUGGAUACUGUCGGGCUAGAGUGCGGAAGAGGCGAGUGGAAUUCCUGGUGUAGCGGUGAAAUGCGCAGAUAUCAGGAGGAACACCGAUUGCGAAGGCAGCUCACUACCCGUCUAACUUGACGCUGGAGGCACGAAAGCGUGGGGAUCAAACAGG